GUUUGUGAAUUGGAGGGCAGCAUUACAGCGCUGGGCCGUGGGGAACUAAACCCUGGCAGCAGCUUGUACGCGCCUGGUAAAAACAUGUUCCUGGCGACCUUCUGCCGAGUUUGCCUUGUCGUCACGUCGUCCACAGUGGACUCCCCACUCUGCCUUCACAGCCACGAUGAUCAGGUUGCGUCUUGGAUUUCCAUCUUGAAGCACCCUCUAAUCUCGUGACAGUGGAGCGUGAAGGGGGGCCACUUCUCCGCCGUAUCGACACCGGGCUGCUUGGAUAAAUGAUGACAGAUGAGAUCUGCAACCGUGAGAUGAGCAACAAGAGGAUAAUCACAAUGACUGUGUAGCUUUCGACCUGUAACUUCACAUGUCAUCGCUCUGGUGACUCACUUGUUUGCAGAAAUCAUCAGCGGUAGGAGGACAGGGAAAUAACUUUAUUUCACUCAAGCUUUUUGGAAAUUUGCUUUUAUUUUCUUUCAUCACAGCUUGUUAAAAAAAAAGGUUUGCCAACAUCAGUAGCAAAAAAGAUGAUCCAUAAAAUCCUUGCAAACCAAAAUAUGUUGUUGAAAGUAUAAGAGCAUAUCAUCUAAACUGCAAGAAAAGCACAUUUAUGUGUUCAGAAAUGCAUCAUAAAAGGUGAUUGGCAUUGUUUGGCACUAAUGUACGGUGGCCCUGAAAGGUCAAAUGCACUGCAACUUAAGAAAACAGCAGCAGAUAGAAAAACAAAACAGAAAUAUUUUUGGGGACAGAAUAAUGUGACAGAUGAGCUGUGAUGCAUGUCUGUUUUAGUCACAUGAUUCAUGUAAUACUGUAGAAACAUGUUUGGUAUUAGCUAUUUACUGUUAGCUUGUCACAUCCGCGUCUGGUCCGUCAACUUAUUGUCUCCCCAAAAACAGUUCCAUUGUGCUUUGUGAAACUUUUUGUUUUUGUUUAGUUUUUGUGAUGUUUUUUCUAUUUGCUGGUGUGUGAUACUGCAGUAGUAGUAUGUACUGAUCCAAUACUAAGUAUAUAGCAAUACCAAAUACCAAUACUUUUAAACUAUAAAGCCAGCUUCUGUAGGGGAGCAGCGUGCCAUGAUUUAUGAGAACAAUCAUCAUCAUUUUGGAAAUUCUGAGCACAUUUUAAUGACCACUAAAUCACUGUGAUUUUUACUUUCCACAAUAAUUAUUUUACACAACAAAACACAACUUUUAGCUUUUUAUGUAUUUUAAAUCUGAGUGUUUUUGGAGAAUGUCUUGUGCCUGUCUUUAAAGCAGUUUGGGUCAA